AAUAAGAGGAACCAUGAAUUUUUAUUAAAUUAAUAACUCCUAUUAAUUUUUUUAUAUGGUGGCACAAAAAUGGAAGCCCCGACUGUUUACUAAAAACACAGCUAUCUGCAAUUAUGAAAAUAAUAGUAUAGGUAGUGAGGUUUGCCCAAUGCCACAUGAAUAAAUAAUAAUAAUAGGUGACUGUUUCUUUAUGAAAAGGUGGUUAAUAGCGGUCUUAACUAUGAGGAUCCUAAGGUAGCAAAAUAAAUUGGCCAUUAAAUGUGGUCGGGUAUCAAUAAUUUAACGAUGGCUUCACUGUCUCUACAACUUGCUCAGUGAAAUUGAAUUACCCGUGCAGAUGCGGGUUACCUCAAAUAGGACGGGAAGACCCUAU
rnacentral:rRNA from 1 species